AUGGGUGCCAUCGCGAUGUGUACGACCUUAUAUUGCCUCAUCCUCGGAGCAGCAGGCAUGCCCAUUGGAUCAGGCACCUGGGAGCAUGGCAACGUCUGGGUGACUCUUGCGAAUGUAACCAAUACAGACACCCUGUGUUUAUCAAUGGCGACGCCAUCAGACCCUUUCCACACUUGCCUGGUCGGACUUCCUCUUGAUAUACAGUGCAUGGGGUCUCUGUAUAAUGAUACUGUGCUAUCACCCUGCAGCACGCUGGGUAAGCUUCAGCCCAUAUGGUGGUGCGAAGCAGGGUGGAGAAGCAUGGAUGGAAGAGGUUCCACAUGGUAUGACAACAUGCGUGAUGCGGGUAAUUUUCCCGCCCUGCCAGUGCAACCACAGGAACUUGACCUGUUAGGAACCACACAGGCUGCAUUUUGCUUUUAUCUAAACUACACUUCAGGAAUAUAUAUCCAUGAGACUAGCAUUGACGUAUCCCCCACGGGCAUCUAUGCCAAUGAAUCCGUGUGGUGUAAUUAUACCACUCGGAGUCAAUUAACGCCCAGACCGGAACCCGGAGGGCUAGCCGCUAAUGUGUUUCUAAUAUGUGGCCAAAGAGCCUGGAAAGGCAUACCAGGUAAAGCUGUGGGAGGCCCAUGUACCUUUGGGCUUUUGAUGAUGUUUCAUCCUGAAAAAUUCUUAGUUAAUGGAACCGUCCACACUCGAACAAAGCGGUCCACCCACGGCUUUACAUCAAGUUGCGAUAGUAAUGUUGAAUUUUUGAAUCCAGCAGAACGUAUCUUGAGUAGUAUUUUUGCAGGAAUAGGGACUGCUCAUGCUUUAUCACAACUUAACAGAUUAGGAUGUUGGCUUGCAAAAGAAGCAAAUGCUACUAGUACUGCUUUAAGCGCCUUAUUAACAGACAUAGAUUCAAUUAGAUAUGCCACCUCACAAAAUCGGGCUGCAAUUGACUUUCUGCUAUUGGUCCAAGACCAUGGUUGUCAGGACUUUGAAGGAAUGUCUUGUAUGAACCUGAGUGAUCAUUCUGAGUCAGUACAUACAAGCACUACAAAAUUGAAGGAGUUAACAAAACAACUGCAAGAAGACGAUGGUGAAAACUUGUGGGGACUGUUUGAUUGGUUGAAUAUGCUUGCUAUAGGGCCUUGGUUAAAACGCAUACUUAUUGUAGGACUUGUUAUGAGUUUUAUGUUUGUUGCAAUACUAAUCUGUGUACCAUGCUUGUUGAGCUGCAUGCGAAGGAUGAUUGACCAAAGUAUGAGACAAGUGAUGACCCUGCAGAUCCAUACAGCCUUAGCCUUUCAAUUAUUAAAAGAAGGGGGAGAUGUGGAGGGUCAUGACAGGGUUAAACUGGUGGAAAGUUGCAAGUAG
rnacentral:lncRNA from 1 species